UACGGAGGGUGCAAGCGUUAUCCGGAUUCACUGGGUUUAAAGGGUGCGUAGGUGGGCAGGUAAGUCAGUGGUGAAAUCUCCGAGCUUAACUCGGAAACUGCCGUUGAUACUAUUUAUCUUGAAUAUUGUGGAGGUAAGCGGAAUAUGUCAUGUAGCGGUGAAAUGCUUAGAUAUGACAUAGAACACCAAUUGCGAAGGCAGCUUACUACACAACGAUUGACGCUGAGGCACGAAAGCGUGGGGAUCAAACAGG
rnacentral:rRNA from 1 species